CUACGGGCGGCUGCAGUGAGGAACAUUGCACAAUGGGGGGAACCCUGAUGCAGCAACGCCGCGUGGAGGAUGACGCAUUUCAGUGUGUAAACUCCUUUUAUAUGUCAAGAAAAUGACGGUAGCAUAUGAAUAAGCACCGGCUAACUCCGUGCCAGCAGCCGCGGUAAUACGGAGGGUGCAAGCGUUACUCGGAAUCACUGGGCGUAAAGGACGCGUAGGCGGGUUGGAAAGUCAGGUGUGAAAUCCUACAGCUUAACUGUAGAACUGCACUUGAAACUUCUAAUCUAGAGUAUGGGAGGGGGAGAUGGAAUUAGUGGUGUAGGGGUAAAAUCCGUAGAUAUCACUAGGAAUACCUAAAGCGAAGGCGAUCUCCUGGAACAUUACUGACGCUAAGGCGUGAAAGCGUGGGGAGCAAACAGGAUUAGAUACCCUCGUAGUC
rnacentral:rRNA from 1 species